UACAGAGGUCUCAAGCGUUGUUCGGAUUCAUUGGGCGUAAAGGGCUCGUAGGCGGCCAACUAAGUCAGACGUGAAAUCCCUCGGCUUAACCGGGGAACUGCGUCUGAUACUGGAUGGCUUGAGUUUGGGAGAGGGAUGCGGAAUUCCAGGUGUAGCGGUGAAAUGCGUAGAUAUCUGGAGGAACACCGGUGGCGAAGGCGGCAUCCUGGACCAACACUGACGCUGAGUGAGCGAAAGCCGGGGGAGCAAACGGG
rnacentral:rRNA from 1 species